UUCCUCUGAGGUGUCAUUUCUAAUCACACU
rnacentral:piRNA from 2 species